CAAGUGGCAUAUGACCGAUGUUUUGUCACGUACCCCAGCUCCCACAGCUGUACAUCUUUGAAUGACCAAACUUGAAAACCCACUGUUCAGCAUAUGCACGGCACUGUGUAUGCGGCUGGUGAAAUUUCUAUGAUAUUUUGCUCUGGGAUGACUGUAAUCCGGACACGGCAUGGGAAUCGCCAUCAGUCGUGAAGAAUCCAAUCGUGAGUGGAGAGACGUCUGAUGAGAAGUCACUUGAACACUGAGCUGCAGAAUGUUCUUCGUCUCCUAUUGUGUCGUCAAGCCGGAGAUUUGCUGUACAGGAACUCGCCUGCCUGUGUACCACCUCCAGUUGAGAUCCGUGUUGGUCGGAGAAGUCUAAUGUCACUGGGAAUUCCAUCCGCAUCCUUGACGAUGUAUGACUGUCUAUCACAAUGGUGUACCACAGCGUUGAACUCUUCUUGACUAAGUCUCUUGGUAACUGGUAUGUUGUCACCUUCAGGCUUAAGACACUUUGUUUUAGUAACACCUAUAGUUCUUUUGAACAGACAUUGGUGUCCCUUUUGAAAGGCACCCUUGUUGUGCAGGUUUUCUGUUGGAUUUUUCUUUGGCUUCAUUGUUAGCACACUGGGUGUGGUAUAUUCUCUUAGUAUAAGGAAAAGUGUGAACUUUUGUAUCUCUUAGCAUGUAGCAGUCUUCAGUGGAAUGGAACCUGUGGUGUGUGUUAUGUUAAUAAAUACUCUCAUGCAGUAAA